rnacentral:rRNA from 1 species
UACGUAGGGAGCAAGCGUUGUCCGGAAUCAUUGGGCGUAAAGCGCGCGUAGGCGGCCCUGUAAGUCCGUUGUGAAAGUCAAAGGCUCAACCUUUGAAAGCCGAUGGAUACUGCAGGGCUAGAGUCCGGAAGAGGCGAGUGGAAUUCCUGGUGUAGCGGUGAAAUGCGUAGAUAUCUGGAGGAAUACCGGUGGCGAAGGCGGCAUCCUGGACCGGCAUUGACGCUGAGGAGCGAAAGCUAGGGGAGCAAACGGG